GGGUUGUGGUGGAGAUUGCCUAUCUUCACCAAACUCAUUGCCUCCUUUCUCCUGGCACAGAGCUGCACUGUAUUUUGCAGGCUCUGUUGAAGUUACAUCGCUGGUAAGCACUGGCCAAGUAAUUGAGUUACAGCCAAAGGGUGAUUAGAAGUGACGUGUGCCACCUCUACAUCUGAUCCACAAAACCUCCCAUUCCCCCAGGCUCUUCCCUGCUGCCAGUUCGAAGCAGAUGGGUGUGGCAGCUUGAAGUCACAUGUGAAGUUGAUGGUACCACAGGAUGGAGGGAGCACAGGUUCCUGAAUCUCUUCUUGGAGAAGGCCCAUCUGCUCACCAGGAAUCCCAUUUGAGACUCUACAUGAGAAAUACACGUCUAUUAUUGGAGCAAUUACAAAUUUCAGAGUUUGCUACAGCAGGUGACUUCAUCCAAAAUAACUUCCCAUCUGGCUAGGGCUGCCUUGGAGAAAUAUCUUCUCAGCUAGGAGGUUCUUCAGUCUCAAGAGGCUUCCUGAAUCAGAAUGCUUUAUGUCCUUGGGCUAUGAUAAAGUGCCAUUGCUGCUGAUCCAUCAUUCUACCAGGAGGCAAACCCCAGCAGAUGGAUAUAUUCGUGUGUUUCACGUCACUUCCAUGCUGAGUUCUUGUCAGUUCAUCCUGGUGUGGGAAUAAUGUCCAGGGAAUACUUUCAUCGCCCACUGGGUUGACCUGACCUGACCUGAUUGGAGACAUGAAGCUGGAGGACCAGACGUGGUAUGGUGAUAAGAAUGUGUCCUGUGACACCUCACCCAGAUGUGCCAGUGGAAGAGAAACAAGGAUUAAAACGUGCAGGGACAGAGGCCAACCCAGAGAACACUCUGCCAGGCAUUAGGCACGUACAGUGGUAAGCAAGGCACUCAGUUCUCAUCAGCGUCUGAUUCAUGCAGAAGUUCUUUCCUGUUAAGAAUCUACUCAAUAAUGCAACACAUAUAAUUAGAAAUGAAUCAUAUGAAAUAGAUUUUAUCAGCAUUUCUAUAUUUACAGGGCACAAACCUGUAGCAGUUCUAUAAAAGUGAGUAAAUCUAUGUGUGAAAUCAUGUAUUUUAUGAAUCUGAUUAUUAAUAACAAGAAAGUGUACGCCAGAUGUGGUGUUCAUGCCUGGUAUAAACUUUGGUGUUCAUCCCACUGGCAUGAAAUUUGGGAGGCCAAGGUGGGAGGAUUGCUUGAGGCCAGGAGUUUGAGACCAACCUGGGCAAUAUAGCAAGACUCUGUUUCUACAAAACACACACACAAAAAAAAAUUAAAAGAAAGAGUAACAAGGAUGGGCAUGCUGGCUCACACCUGUAAUCCCAGCACUUUGGGAGGCUGA
rnacentral:lncRNA from 10 species